GCGGUGACAACAUUAUGCAGUGUUAAGGCUCAUUUCUUGCAAUUCUACAUAUUUUGCCAUGUCUUAUGUUGUGUGUUCAUAGACAUCAGAGUGAGUGACUCAAACUGAUUUUUUUUUUUUUUCUGGGCUUGAUAACUACAAGGUUUAGAUAGUAAUAUCCAGUUGAUCAGCUGACAGGUUAUAAAUAGCUCUAAGGUCUGUCAGUAAGCACGUUUCCAUCCACAGUUUGAGUCAAGUCAUACCGUAUAAAUGUAAAAAGUUUCAGUACGUAUAAGUGUCAGUACAAUUUCAUUCAAAUGCCGACAGAUCAUUUGUUAGUUCGACAUAGUGGUGGGAUCUUUUUGUGUCGGUAAAAUUAAUUAUGCGAGAAAUGGUGGUGGAUGUGCCUUUAAGCGCAAAUAUUGAUUUAAUUACCAUCAUAUCAAAAUAAACUUGAAGUCACGCGAUGAUAUGGUGUGUGUGUUUCCUCCCACUACGACUCGUGAAACCAUGCAGUUUAUUAGGCUACAGAUUAAUAAGUUAUGAACGUCACAAGACAGUGAAAGUACACGAUGAGCAUGAUGCUCCUUCCCAAUAACUAAGGGGUCUUAUUUAGGCCUGACCCCAUUUAGUCGACUGGUCGAUUGUUUGGUCAAUAGGCUGUUGGUCGACUGUUUCUUUAGUCAAGCAGUAAAAAAAAUAAAUAAAAGGUCAUGGUGUAAAAAAAAAUAUUUUAAAAAGUAUCCGAGUCGUGCCUAUCAGAGUGGACUAAUCCAUUGUGGAGGCCAUGGGGGUGGUACGGUCCAUCACUCAAAGACGUGCUACCGAAAUGGUAUAUGGUGAUAUUAUUUAAAAACAAUGGUGCAAUAUUUCUUAUACCAAUCACAUCCUCUCAGAUCUCCACAAGUACAUAGGGAUUAGUUGCCCAUUUGGGAUAGGACUUGCAGGCCAUCUAUCCCACCUCACACACCUGGUUAUCCAGCCUUCUAGCUCUAUAGGCCACAGUAGCAUAGGUUACAGGUUUGUGUCAAGCCACAGAUUUCAGGUGAGAUCCCAUGAUACACUCAACAAU
ensembl:lncRNA